CAGGGAGGAGGGGGAUGAUUCAAUCCAAAGCAAGAGUUGCUUCAGAGGCUCGCCCUGGGGUGCUUGCACCUCCCCCGAGGUUCGGGUGUUGGGAGGCCCUUAGCUUUUAGGAGCUCCCUUAACUUCGUUUGCAAAUCUAUUCUGGGCAGAGUGAGUUCAAAGCAUCUCAGCUACGCGCAUACUUACUGGCUACAGUUACCACUUCUUAUGAAUUUCAUCCAUCCUUAAUUAAGCUGCAAAGGCACUCAGCAUCGUUGGAGUGGAAAGCUGGAGGAGGCAAGUAGAAGACAAAUGGUGUCCUUUUUAUGCUGCAUUAGAGGCUGUGUUUUAUCCUGAUGAAAACUGUAAAACUUUUUUUUAAAAAGAGUGUGGAAUAAAUGGAGGAGCGGUGACCCGGAAUCUCGUAUGCUGGUGAAAUGCCUCAAAUAAGGUUUUGUCUCUAUGGUGAUAAUGCAAGAGAGCAUUCUCUCCCUCUUCUGUUCCCCAACUGCAACAUCAUGAGGCAUUUUGGGUUCUAUCCACUAGGGGGUGCCAACUGGUCCUUAACAGAGUAGGGAUGGGAAAUAGCUGAGCAUCCUAAAAUGUACAGGACGGUCCCUGCAAAUGCUAGCUGGCUCAAUAUUUCAAGUCUUCCAAGCCUGAGAAGCCCUGAACUGAAGGAUUGAGGAAGCCACAGUGAGGAUAAGCGUUCAUGAGGAAGAAGCAUUGGGCUGUUGGAGCUGAUUCGACAUAGACAAUAGGAAAGAAAGGAGGGUGUGGGCUUGCAGAGCUGGAACACAGAGGGAAGAAUGAGGCUGGGAGAAGGAGACAAGGCCUUGGGUGUUGCAGGAGCUGUGUUUCACAGAGCAAGUGAGGAUGUGCAGGUGAAAGAAAGGGUCAGGAUGAGAGGAAUCUAAGCCGGGAGAGGAUUGGGAAAUGUCAGUCUAUAGUAACUGCUACAUCCUUGGAGACAACGUACGUAAAGAGAACAAUGAGCUAGCCAAUGGAUGCCUGGGGUGAAAUGAGAAACGGGGCUGAAAAUGAGUUCAGAAUUCUAGUUCCUCAUUCUCUUUCCUCCAUCAGAAUCUCUGUCCCCAAGCCUAUCGACCAGACCGGAACCUCUACACAGAAGGACCAGGAAUGUGAUGUGCUGCAAACAGUCUUGGGCAUUUUUGAAGCAUAAUGAAGUUUGAGAAUGAUAGCUAUAGGUAUCAGAAGAGCUGUCUGAGAAGGAGCAGGCAAUAAGGCAUCAGGAAAACUACGAAAGCAGAGUCCCACAACCCAGGAAAAGAGCACUGAAAAUAAGGCUCUCGGUAGAAAUGGCGGCUGUGGGCAGAACUGGGCAGUUCGUUAGACUCACAAGUAUAAUGAGAAUCAAUGUAGAGUUGUAAGUUUUCUAUUAGGGAUGUGAAAAGGAUGAAAACAAGCUGGCAAGAAUUAAUUUUAGAGCUUCAUUGUUUCCAGCCAUGGUGGGGUCUCAUCUGUGAUCCCAGUAACUGAGAGGCAGAGGCCGAAAGAUUGUUGCAUAUUUUAGGAUAACCUAUGCUACAAUAUGAGAGACUGUAUGCAGAAAAACAAAACACCCCCAAAACAAACCAAGCCAAACCAAACAAAAAGCUCAAAGAAAAAGAAAUAUAUUAUUUAACCCAAUCUUUCUGAAACAUUUUAAGAUAUAAUUAACAUAAAAGUGUGUGAGAUGUGCUACAUUUUUAAAAAAAUAUUGAGACCUGGAAAUUGAAUGCUUUAUAUCUUGAACACUUCUCAGUUUGCACUAGACACAUUUCAGAUAUUCAGUAGCCACACAUAUUAGCACAGCUGCAGAAGUAUAUCUGAAAAAGAAUGAAAGAAAACCGAUAAAGAAAGUAAAAAAUUCAAAGGACAAAGUAACCACCUUAACUGUGGUGAUAAGGUGCUCUUAGGGGGUGUGACAAGACCCUUUUCAGGGAAGUGUUCAGAGCACAGCCAGGGUUUAAGGUGUCAGCUGGUAGAGCAGUUCAUAGACACUUAAGGAUGUGGAAAGGAAUUGAGGCUCAGGAAGGGUGUGGGCAUACGCAGCGGCUUAGAGAGAGAUGCCAUGACAUUCGGCAGG